rnacentral:lncRNA from 1 species
GCUUUGGGGCGACGUCACGGGCGUUCGGCUGCGUCACGGUGGUGGUAGUGUCGGGAGCUGAGCAGUCUUCUGAGAGUGGACCCUGAUGAUGAUGAUUCUCCACCUUCUAAGAGACCAAAGACCAUUGAGACACCCAGCCACCAGUCCCGUAACCUGCCAAUGCUGGGCAACAGAAAGUGAGGGAGUUCAACUCUGGGACCUGCAGAACUGAGCUGUGUCUGAGCCAGGUUCCAUCCAGGCACUGCAGAUCCAUCCAGAGGGAAACCGCCCCAAGUUGCUCGCUAUCCACUGCCUUCUCAAGCAGACCCUUGUCUCACAAUCCAGUGGAGGAGACGAAACUCAUGUGCCUCUGUCCCUCUGGGCAUACCUCAUGCCAGGUGCAUCUGUGGACAUGGGCCAUGCUCCUGGGCUUCCGAAGUUGGAGAAAGCUGCCAGGCUCAGGUGGGUACAUCAGAGCAGCUGCUGCCCUCUGGACACAGUGACAAAAGAACACUGUGGG